ACUUCCUCGUUUUGUUUACAGAAAGCAAAGAAACCCAAAGCAGCAGAGGCCGUCUCAAAGCCACAUGUCCCUGAAGAAUCCGCAGGACCAUCAAAUGUUAAGACAGGGAAGCCUGAGGAAGCCAGCCUUGAUUCUAGAGAGAAGAAAACCAACCCGGCUCCAAAGAGCACAG